rnacentral:rRNA from 1 species
GACGAACGCUGGCGGCGUGCUUAACACAUGCAAGUCGAACGGAAAGGCCCUGCUUUUGUGGGGUGCUCGAGUGGCGAACGGGUGAGUAACACGUGAGUAACCUGCCCUUGACUUUGGGAUAACUUCAGGAAACUGGGGCUAAUACCGGAUAGGAGCUCCUGCUGCAUGGUGGGGGUUGGAAAGUUUCGGCGGUUGGGGAUGGACUCGCGGCUUAUCAGCUUGUUGGUGGGGUAGUGGCUUACCAAGGCUUUGACGGGUAGCCGGCCUGAGAGGGUGACCGGCCACAUUGGGACUGAGAUACGGCCCAGACUCCUACGGGAGGCAGCAGUGGGGAAUAUUGCACAAUGGGCGGAAGCCUGAUGCAGCAACGCCGCGUGCGGGAUGACGGCCUUCGGGUUGUAAACCGCUUUCGCCUGUGACGAAGCGUGAGUGACGGUAAUGGGUAAAGAAGCACCGGCUAACUACGUGCCAGCAGCCGCGGUGAUACGUAGGGUGCGAGCGUUGUCCGGAUUUAUUGGGCGUAAAGGGCUCGUAGGUGGUUGAUCGCGUCGGAAGUGUAAUCUUGGGGCUUAACCCUGAGCGUGCUUUCGAUACGGGUUGACUUGAGGAAGGCAGGGGAGAAUGGAAUUCCUGGUGGAGCGGUGGAAUGCGCAGAUAUCAGGAGGAACACCAGUGGCGAAGGCGGUUCUCUGGGCCUUUCCUGACGCUGAGGAGCGAAAGCGUGGGGAGCGAACAGGCUUAGAUACCCUGGUAGUCCACGCUGUAAACGGUGGGUACUAGGUGUGGGGUCCAUUCCACGGGUUCCGUGCCGUAGCUAACGCUUUAAGUACCCCGCCUGGGGAGUACGGCCGCAAGGCUAAAACUCAAAGGAAUUGACGGGGCCCCGCACAAGCGGCGGAGCAUGCGGAUUAAUUCGAUGCAACGCGUAGAACCUUACCUGGGUUUGACAUGGAUCGGGAGUGCUCAGAGAUGGGUGUGCCUCUUUUGGGGUCGGUUCACAGGUGGUGCAUGGCUGUCGUCAGCUCGUGUCGUGAGAUGUUGGGUUAAGUCCCGCAACGAGCGCAACCCUUGUUCACUGUUGCCAGCACGUUAUGGUGGGGACUCAGUGGAGACCGCCGGGGUCAACUCGGAGGAAGGUGGGGAUGACGUCAAGUCAUCAUGCCCCUUAUGUCCAGGGCUUCACGCAUGCUACAAUGGCUGGUACAGAGAGUGGCGAGCCUGUGAGGGUGAGCGAAUCUCGGAAAGCCGGUCUCAGUUCGGAUUGGGGUCUGCAACUCGACCUCAUGAAGUCGGAGUCGCUAGCAAUCGCAGAUCAGCAACGCUGCGGUGAAUACGUUCCCGGGGCU